UACGUAGGGUGCGAGCGUUAAUCGGAAUUACUGGGCGUAAAGCGUGCGCAGGCGGUUUUGUAAGACAGGCGUGAAAUCCCCGGGCUCAACCUGGGAAUGGCGCUUGUGACUGCAAGCUGGAGUGCGGCAGAGGGGAUGGAAUUCCGCGUGUAGCAGUGAAAUGCGUAGAUAUGCGGAGGAACACCGAUGGCGAAGGCAAUCCCCUGGGCCUGCACUGACGCUCAUGCACGAAAGCGUGGGGAGCAAACAGG
rnacentral:rRNA from 1 species